UACAGUAUUUUGACUCUUCGUCUUAUUUGAAAUUUUUUUAUGAUUAAUAUUUUUAUUGUUACUAGAUGAUAAAAUAUGAAUAUUACUUUAUGCGUGACUAAUUUUUUUUAAGUUUUUUAUAAAUUUUUUAAAUAAGACGAAUGAUUAAAGCAUUGGACACGGAAAUUGA
rnacentral:pre_miRNA from 1 species